ACGGAGGGUGCAAGCGUUAAUCGGAAUUACUGGGCGUAAAGCGCACGCAGGCGGUUUGUUAAGUCAGAUGUGAAAUCCCCGGGCUCAACCUGGGAACUGCAUCUGAUACUGGCAAGCUUGAGUCUCGUAGAGGGGGGUAGAAUUCCAGGUGGAGCGGCGAAAGGAGAAGAGAUCUGGAGGAAUAGCGGUGGCGUAGGCGGCCACCUGGACGAACACUGAUGCUCAGGUGCGAAUGCGUGGGGAGCACACAG
rnacentral:rRNA from 1 species